rnacentral:rRNA from 1 species
AGUAAUGUCUGGGAAACUGCCUGAUGGAGGGGGAGUAACUACUGGAACGGUAGCUAAUACCGCAUAACGUCGCAAGACCAAAGAGGGGGACCGUUCGGGCCUCUUGCCAUCGGAUGUGCCCAGAUGGGAUUAGCUAGUAGGUGGGGUAACGGCUCACCUAGGCGACGAUCCCUAGCUGGUCUGAGAGGAUGACCAGCCACACUGGAACUGAGACACGGCCCAGACUCCUACGGGAGGCAGCAUG